UAGGUGCUUGCACCUGAUGGCGAGUGGCGAACGGGUGAGUAAUGCAUCGGAACGUGCCCAAUCGUGGGGGAUAACGCAGCGAAAGCUGUGCUAAUACCGCAUACGAUCUACGGAUGAAAGCGGGGGACCUUCGGGCCUCGCGCGAUUGGAGCGGCCGAUGUUAGAUUAGGUAGUUGGUGGGGUAAAGGCUCACCAAGUCGACCGAUCUAUAGCUGGUCUGAGAGGACGACCAGCCACACUCGGAACUGAGACACGGUCCUAGACUCC
rnacentral:rRNA from 1 species